rnacentral:rRNA from 1 species
GACGAACGCUGGCGGCGUGCUUAACACAUGCAAGUCGAACGAAGAGCGAUGGAAGCUUGCUUCUAUCAAUCUUAGUGGCGAACGGGUGAGUAACGCGUAAUCAACCUGCCCUUCAGAGGGGGACAACAGUUGGAAACGACUGCUAAUACCGCAUACGAUCUAACCUCGGCAUCGAGGAUAGAUGAAAGGUGGCCUCUACAUGUAAGCUAUCACUGAAGGAGGGGAUUGCGUCGGAUUAGCUGGUUGGAGGGGUAACGGCCCACCAAGGCGAUGAUCAGUAGCCGGUCUGAGAGGAUGCACGGCCACAUUGGGACUGGGACACGGCCCAGAAUCCUACGGGAGGCAGCAGUGGGGAAUCUUCCGCAAUGGACGAAAGUCUGACGGAGCAACGCCGCGUGAGUGAUGACGGCCUUCGGGUUGUAAAGCUCUGUUAAUCGGGACGAAAGGCCUUCUUGCGAAUAGUUAGAAGGAUUGACGGUACCGGAAUAGAAAGCCACGGCUAACUACGUG